CACGUAGGGUGCGAGCGUUGUCCGGAAUUACUGGGCGUAAAGCGCACGUAGGCGGAUUGUUAAGUCGGGGGUGAAAUCCUGGAGCUCAACUCCAGAACUGCCUUCGAUACUGGCGAUCUCGAGUUCGGGAGAGGUGAGUGGAACUGCGAGUGUAGAGGUGAAAUUCGUAGAUAUUCGCAAGAACACCAGUGGCGAAGGCGGCUCACUGGCCCGAUACUGACGCUGAGGUGCGAAAGCGUGGGGAGCAAACAGG
rnacentral:rRNA from 1 species